UGGGGAAUAUUGGACAAUGGGGGGAACCCUGAUCCAGCCAUGCCGCGUGUGUGAAGAAGGCCUUAUGGUUGUAAAGCACUUUAAGCGAGGAGGAGGGUACUGGUAUUAAUACUACCAGGUACUGGACGUUACUCGCAGAAUAAGCACCGGCUAACUCUGUGCCAGCAGCCGCGGUAAUACAGAGGGUGCAAGCGUUAAUCGGAAUUACUGGGCGUAAAGCGUGCGUAGGCGGCUAAUUGAGUCGGAUGUGAAAUCCCCGAGCUUAACUUGGGAAUUGCAUUCGAUACUGGUUAGCUAGAGUGUGGGAGAGGAUGGUAGAAUUCCAGGUGUAGCGGUGAAAUGCGUAGAGAUCUGGAGGAAUACCGAUGGCGAAGGCAGCCAUCUGGCCUAACACUGACGCUGAGGUACGAAAGCAUGGGGAGCAAACAGG
rnacentral:rRNA from 1 species